rnacentral:lncRNA from 1 species
CAUCUCAUUGUCCAGUCAGUGGAGCUCACUGCACAUGAACCAGAGAUUGGAUAUUGCAUAUGAUGAACCUUGCCUGAACAAAUUUUAGUGACAUUUCAGAGAACAAUAUAAGCAUGGUACCUUGCAAUCAAUACUAUAGACUGAACCAGACGGAAUGGCUAACUAGGUUUAUGUGAAAAGGUAUUGGCUUGUGCAAGGCCCGGGUGAGGAUCUUCACACAUUCGACAUAGACUUAAGUUACUAGUGGUCCAAACCCUCCAGAUUCGCAUGGACCACAGCAAUUGCUUCAAGUUAAAAAGACAAAAAAUAAAACAAAAUUAGAAAAAGGUAACUUAUGUAUUGAGACCAUGGGUUUUGCUGAGAAGAGGUUUCAUACGCAUGUGACAUAAAAAAGAGAACAGGGAGAGGACAAGAAAGACUGCAGAAAGCGACAAAAUACUACCUGUAGAUGUUUCAUUAGGACACUACAUAUGCACAAGCAAACUAAUUUAUCUACCCUAAUUUUUGAAUAGAUGAACAUCCCUUGCUUGUCUCAUUACAAAUUGGAUUUUAGUAAGAGAACAUAGAAUAAUAUUUAAAAAAAAAAUAAAGGGCCAUGAAUUCCAUGAAUUCCGUAGUUCAUUU